rnacentral:rRNA from 1 species
GACGAACGCUGGCGGCGUGCCUAACACAUGCAAGUCGAACGGAAAGGCCAUGCUUUUGUGGGGUGCUCGAGUGGCGAACGGGUGAGUAACACGUGAGUAACCUGCCCUUGACUUUGGGAUAACUUCAGGUAACUGGGGCUAAUACCGGAUAGGAGCUCCUGCUGCACGGUGGGGGUUGGAAAGUUUCGGCGGUCGGGGAUGGACUCGCGGCUUAGCAGCUUGUUGGUGGGGUAGUGGCUUACCCAGGCUGUGACGGGUAGCCGGCCUGGGAGGGUGACCGGCCACAUUAGGACUACGGUAGGGCGCAGUGUGCAACGGGGGGCAACAGUGGGAAAUAUUGCACAGUGAGCGGGAGCCUGAUGCGACGGCGCCGCGUGCGGAAUGACGGCCUUCGGGUUAUGAACCGCUUUCGCCUGAGACGAAGCGUGAGUGACGGUAAUGGGUGAAGAAGCACCGGCUAACUACGUG